rnacentral:rRNA from 1 species
AGUGAACGCUGGCGGUAGGCCUAACACAUGCAAGUCGAACGGCAGCACAGUAAGAUCUUGCUCUUACGGGUUGCGAGUGGCGGACGGGUGAGGAAUACAUCGGAAUCUACUUUUUCGUGGGGGAUAACGUAGGUAAACUUACGCUAAUACCGCAUACGACCUACGGGUGAAAGCAGUGGAUCUUCUGACCUUGCGCGAUUGAAUGAGCCGAUGUCGGAUUAGCUAGUUGGCGGGGUAAAGGCCCACCAAGGCGACGAUCCGUAGCUGGUCUGAGAGGAUGAUAAGCCACACUGGAACUGAGACACGGUCCAGACUCCUAAGGGAGGCAGCAGUGGGGAAUAUUGGACAAUGGGCGCAAGCAUGAUCCAGCGAUACCGCGUGGGUGAAGAAGGCGUUCGGGUUGUAAAGCCCUUUUGUUGGGAAAGAAAAGCAGCAGGUUAAUACCCCGCUGUUCUGACGGUACCCAAAGAAUAAGCACCGGCUAACUUCGUG